UACGUAGGGUGCGAGCGUUAAUCGGAAUUACUGGGCGUAAAGCGUGCGCAGGCGGCUAUCCAAGACAGCUGUGAAAUCCCCGGGCUCAACCUGGGAACUGCGGUUGUGACUGAAUGGCUGGAGUGUGGCAGAGGGGGGUAGAAUUCCACGUGUAGCAGUGAAAUGCGUAGAGAUGUGGAGGAAUACCGAUGGCGAAGGCAGCCCCCUGGGUUAACACUGACGCUCAUGCACGAAAGCGUGGGGAG
rnacentral:rRNA from 1 species